CGCUAGCUACAGGCUUAACACAUGCAAGUCGAGGGGCAUCAGGAAGAAAGCUUGCUUUCUUUGCUGGCGACCGGCGCACGGGUGAGUAACACGUAUCCAACCUGCCCUUUACUCGGGGAUAGCCUUUCGAAAGAAAGAUUAAUACCCGAUAGCAUAAUGAUUCCGCAUGGUUUCAUUAUUAAAGGAUUCCGGUAAAGGAUGGGGAUGCGUUCCAUUAGGUUGUUGGUGAGGUAACGGCUCACCAAGCCUUCGAUGGAUAGGGGUUCUGAGAGGAAGGUCCCCCACAUUGGAACUGAGACACGGUCCAAACUCCUACGGGAGGCAGCAGUGAGGAAUAUUGGUCAAUGGGCGCUAGCCUGAACCAGCCAAGUAGCGUGAAGGAUGAAGGCUCUAUGGGUCGUAAACUUCUUUUAUAUAAGAAUAAAGUGCAGUAUGUAUACUGUUUUGUAUGUAUUAUAUGAAUAAGGAUCGGCUAACUCCGUGCCAGCAGCCGCGGUAAUACGGAGGAUCCGAGCGUUAUCCGGAUUUAUUGGGUUUGAAGGGAGCGUAGGUGGACUGGUAAGUCAGUUGUGAAAGUUUGCGGCUCAACCGUAAAAUUGCAGUUGAUACUGUCAGUCUUGAGUACAGUAGAGGUGGGCGGAAUUCGUGGUGUAGCGGUGAAAUGCUUAGAUAUCACGAAGAACUCCGAUUGCGAAGGCAGCUCACUGGACUGCAACUGACACUGAUGCUCGAAAGUGUGGGUAUCAAACAGGAUUAGAUACCCUGGUAGUCCACACAGUAAACGAUGAAUACUCGCUGUUUGCGAUAUACAGUAAGCGGCCAAGCGAAAGCAUUAAGUAUUCCACCUGGGGAGUACGCCGGCAACGGUGAAACUCAAAGGAAUUGACGGGGGCCCGCACAAGCGGAGGAACAUGUGGUUUAAUUCGAUGAUACGCGAGGAACCUUACCCGGGCUUAAAUUGCAGUGGAAUGAUGUGGAAACAUGUCAGUGAGCAAUCACCGCUGUGAAGGUGCUGCAUGGUUGUCGUCAGCUCGUGCCGUGAGGUGUCGGCUUAAGUGCCAUAACGAGCGCAACCCUUAUCUUUAGUUACUAACAGGUUAUGCUGAGGACUCUAGAGAGACUGCCGUCGUAAGAUGUGAGGAAGGUGGGGAUGACGUCAAAUCAGCACGGCCCUUACGUCCGGGGCUACACACGUGUUACAAUGGGGGGUACAGAAGGCAGCUAGCGGGUGACCGUAUGCUAAUCCCAAAAGCCUCUCUCAGUUCGGAUCGAAGUCUGCAACCCGACUUCGUGAAGCUGGAUUCGCUAGUAAUCGCGCAUCAGCCACGGCGCGGUGAAUACGUUCCCGGGCCUUGUACACACCGCCCGUCAAGCCAUGGGAGCCGGGGGUACCUGAAGUACGUAACCGCAAGGAUCGUCCUAGGGUAAAACUGGUGACUGGGGCUA
rnacentral:rRNA from 1 species